AAAAGAGAGACAGUCAAGCUAACAAUUUUUGCAACAUAAAUUAUUUUUAAAAAUUUCUGAUUUUAAAAAUAAUAUAUACUCAUUGAAUAAAAUUUGGAAUGUGGAGAAAAGCAUGAAGGGGAAACCACCCAUAAAUCCCUAAUAUCCUAACUUAGCAGUUUUAAAAGUAUUAACACUAAAUUAAGAAGCUACUGAAAUUCUAUUUGGCUCACAAAACUCUUACUGGCCUUACCCAUGAUACAGUAAAAUCAGUCCUUCUUGUCAGUCAUGGAGGAAUCUGGGGGAAGGGACAAAGCUGUGACCCAACUGGAGUUACAACGUUGUCAUAACUGUUCUAAAACACAACUUCCCUCUCACCCUUCAUUACCAGCACCCUCUCAUUAAUCUUCAAAUUCAAAGCUAACAAAUUUAGUUCACUGUUGCAUACUAUUCACAUGCUUCUAUGUGGGAGAUAACACCAGGGUUUAAGUCUAAUAGCUAAAAAUCCACAAUUCAAUUUCAUACUAAACUCUCCCACAUAGUAGCAUAUAAGAUUCUUUAAUAGAUUUCAGAAAAAUCUAUGAGCUAAUAUCAAUACAUUAAUUCUGUUCGGCACUUUAAGAUCAUCCCCGUAGUUUAUUGGGUAUGCUAUUUAUAUUUUUGCAAUUUAUAAACAUUCCUGACAUUAAUACUACAUAUAAUUUUUCCUCAAUUACUUAUCCAUUCAAAUAAAACUAUCAAAUUUAGUCUAUUCCAUGCAAAGUACUUUGGGAAAUAUAAAGAUGAAUAAAACAAUCCCUUCAAGGAGUUUAUCAUCUAGAAAAGGAGAUAAAAUAACUAUAGUACAAGAUAGAAAAUUAUCAAGUAUCCCAAGUAAGAUUUAAAAAAAAAGGGCUUCUGGGAUUUCAGAAAAACUAACAUUUCUCAUAUUGGUAGGACCCUCUUAAAAUUGGGCCUGAAUACAAACAUUUUGGAAACCUGUUUGGCAGUAUCUAUUAAAGUUGAGCAUGUGCACAUUCUAUGACAAAGCAAUAUCCGCUCCUAGCUACAUAUACCCAACAGAAAUGUGCAAGCAUGUCCACAAAAAGACAUGUACUAGAAUGUUCAUAACAACAUCAUUUGUAAAAGCCCCAAGUUUGAAACUAUCCAAAUGCCAUCAAUGAUAGAAAAGAUAAGUAAAUUUCGAUAUAAUCUCAAAAUGAAACACUAUAUAGCAAAGAAAUGAAUGCUCUACAAGCAACGAUAUGAAUGAAUCUUCAAAACAUAAUGUUGACAUAAAGAAGCCAGAUGCAAAAGAGAAUGAGUCCAUAUACAUAAAGUACAAAACUCGGCAACUCAGCACCAAGCUUCAUACCGUUAGAAGUCAGGAGAAUGGUUACUCUUGGGGUAGGGGGAGGUAAGGACUAGAUGUGAGCACAAGGGUGGAGCUUCUGGGGUGCUAGUAAUGUUGUUUUUCAAUUUCGGCAUGGAUUCAGGUUGUGAAAAGUCAUCACAUUUGUGAUAUGUUUACUUUUCUGUAUGUCUAGUUUACCUCAAUAAAAAGUAAAAAUAAAAAAGUGGCAAGAAAAGAAAAACACCAGUUAACCAAACUAUUUUGUAUAACAGAACUGCUUCACACAUCAUUUUGCAGGAGACACAGUCUAGUUGGCAAAUUCAGAGUUGGAAAGACCUUUAGAAGUAUAUGGUCCAACUUCACCAGACCCCGAGCAGGCCCAGGUUUGGCUCUUCUUGUAAGUCUCCAGUGAUGGGAACUCAAUAUCCUCCCCGAAGCCUAGAAGAGACCCUCAGAUGGUUUUACUCCAUAAGCUUGAAAAGCAAAGAGCAACCACAAAUUCCAGCGAUGGGUGUGCUCAACUUUCUGGAAUAACAAAAACAAAACCAAACCAAACACAGAAGAAAAACAGUCCCCAGCAGCCCACACACACAAAACUCCACUGGCAUUAUCUUCACCGCCAUCUCCUAGAACAAUUGCACCUUUUGUCAUUUCUGGUGGAGGUACAGCUGCUGAAGAAGCCAAGACUUAGAGGAGAAAGCAAAGACAUGGAAGGAGGGAAGAAAAUGCUUCCUUUGUUAAUGAAAAGCUGUUUCCAUUUAAAAGUUUCAACAUACUAUGGAAUAGUGAAUGCACUUUUGUGAGCAAAAGCAAAGCAUACAAUGAAGAAAAGCUGCCUGUCAAUUAAAUAAACAGUCAUUUGAAGACACCCCCUUUCUUGAGAAAGCGGGGGAGAAGGGAGGGAAUGUGGACUACUACCAGUCGUGGCUGAAGAUGUGUCUGAGAGGUACAGUAAAUACGACACAGGGCUUCUAGAGUGAUACAGAUUCAUUUAAUUACGACAGUAAGAAAUCACAAGGUUAAUAGGUUUUUUAAAAGACCACAAGGCUAUAAUAAACUGUUCUAGCAUGCAUUAAAAAUGGAGUGCUUGGGAAAGUAUUUUAUUGAAUUUCACAAAUUUCCACUGAGUUUAUUUUCCUUCAUGAAGCAAUGCCUUAAGACAGGUAGGGACAAGCUAGAGUUUCUGUUACACAACAGCAGGCUCUUGUGAUAAACCUGAUUACAAUACCCUGCCAGAGGUGAACUUCCUGCUUAGCUAUUAAAAAAAAAAAAAAA